GAGCCAUUAGCUCAGCUGGCAGAGCAUCUGACUUUUAAUCAGAGGGUCGGAGGUUCGAAUCCUCCAUGGCUCAUCA
rnacentral:tRNA from 1 species